UUCGCAAUGCCCGAAAGGGUGACGAAGCGACGCCGCGUGUGGGAAGAAGGCUCUAGGGUUGUAAACCACUGUCAGGAGUUAAGAAAUGUAAAGGUGUUAAUAGCGCCUUUAUUUGACGAAGGCUCCAGAGGAAGUCACGGCUAACUCUGUGCCAGCAGCCGCGGUAAUACAGAGGUGGCAAGCGUUGUUCAGAAUUAUUGGGCGUAAAGAGCACGUAGGUGGGUUUGUAAGUCAGAUGUGAAAGCCUCCUGUUCAACGGGAGAAUUGCGUCUGAAACUGCGUGUCUUGAGUGUAGGAGGGGAGAAUGGAACUUCUGGUGGAGCGGUGAAAUGCGUAGAUAUCAGAAGGAACGCCGGCGGCGAAAGCGAUUCUCUGGCCUAUUACUGACACUCAGUGUGCGAAAGCUAGGGGAGCAAACGGGAUUAGAUACCCCGGUAGUCCUAGCUGUAAACGAUGGGCACUAAGUAGAGGGGUUUU
rnacentral:rRNA from 1 species